GAUGAACGCUGGCGGCGUGCCUAAUACAUGCAAGUCGAACGCUGGAAAUCUAGCUUGCUAGCUUGAAGGAGUGGCGAACGGGUGAGUAAUACAUAAGCAACCUACCCACGAAGACUGGGAUAAUCUCUGGAAACGGGGACUAAUACCGGAUAGGUAAUCGGAAGGCAUCUUCUGAUUAUUAAAGGUUAAAAACACUGGUGGAUGGGCUUAUGGCGCAUUAGUUAGUUGGUGAGGUAACGGCCCACCAAGACGAUGAUGCGUAGCCGGCCUGAGAGGGUGAACGGCCACAUUGGGACUGAGACACGGCCCAGACUCCUACGGGAGGCAGCAGUAGGGAAUUUUCGGCAAUGGGGGAAACCCUGACCGAGCAACGCCGCGUGAGUGAUGACGGCCUUCCGGUUGUAAAGCUCUGUUGUAAGGGAAGAACGGUAGAUAGAGAAUAUCUAAAUGACGGUACCUUACCAGAAAGCCACGGCUAACUACGUG
rnacentral:rRNA from 1 species